rnacentral:rRNA from 1 species
GAUGAACGCUGGCGGCGUGCCUAAUACAUGCAAGUCGAGCGAACAGACGAGGAGCUUGCUCCUCUGACGUUAGCGGCGGACGGGUGAGUAACACGUGGAUAACCUACCUAUAAGACUGGGAUAACUUCGGGAAACCGGAGCUAAUACCGGAUAAUAUAUUGAACCGCAUGGUUCAAUAGUGAAAGACGGUUUUGCUGUCACUUAUAGAUGGACCCGCGCCGCAUUAGCUAGUUGGUAAGUUAACGGCUUACCAAGGCAACGAUGCGUAGCCGACCUGAGAGGGUGAUCGGCCACACUGGAACUGAGACACGGUCCAGACUCCUACGGGAGGCAGCAGUAGGGAAUCUUCCGCAAUGGGCGAAAGCCUGACGGAGCAACGCCGCGUGAGUGAUGAAGGUCUUCGGAUCGUAAAACUCUGUUAUUAGGGAAGAACAAAUGUGUAAGUAACUAUGCACGUCUUGACGGUACCUAAUCAGAAAGCCACGGCUAACUACGUG